GGAUUGCCUUAGUAACGGCGAGUGAAGCGGCAAAAGCUCAGAUUUGAAAUCUGGUGUCAUUUUGGCAUCCGAGUUGUAGUCUGUAGAGGUGUAUUCGAGUGUGGAUUUGGCUUAAGUUCCUUGGAACAGGGCGUCAUAGAGGGUGAGAACCCCGUUAAUGGCCUUUGUCUUAUGCUCAUGUGAAUCUCCUUCAACGAGUCGAGUUGUUUGGGAAUGCAGCUCUAAAUGGGUGGUAAAUUCCAUCUAAAGCUAAAUACUGGCAAGAGACCGAUAGCGCACAAGUAGAGUGAUCGAAAGAUGAAAAGAACUCUGAACAGAGAGUUAAAUAGUACGUGAAAUUGUUGAAAGGGAAGCACUUGUGACCAGACGCACUUGCAGCCGAUCAAUUCUCAUUUUUGAGGGUGCACUCGGUUGUCUGUGGGUCAGCAUCAGUUAUAGCGGUAGGAAAAAGACUUGGGGAAUGUAGCUCCUUUCGGGGAGUGUUAUAGCCUUGUGUGCAAUGCUGCCUGCUGUGACUGAGGACCGCGCUUUGGCGAGGAUGCUGACAUAAUGGUCGUAAGUGACCCGUCUUGAAACACGGACCAAGGAGUCUAACAUCUAUGCGAGUGUUUGGGUGUACAAACCCUUACGCGGAAUGAAAGUAAAUGGAGGUGGGAACCGCAAGGUGCACCAUCGACCGAUCCUGAUGUUUUCGGAUGGAUUUGAGUAGGAGCAUAGCUGUUGGGACCCGAA
rnacentral:rRNA from 1 species